GUAGAAUUUCCUCGCGUUUUAGACGCUGACUACAGUUCUGGGUGCAUCGACGGGACAACCGAGAAAGCUGCACGAUGGCAACUGUGGUUGUGACUCCAGACUCUUUGGGUGAAAAAAUCAGCCGUUUUCAGUUGACGGCUUGGCUCAACAAGCUCCUGAAGACCAGCUUCACAGAAGUACAGCAGCUGGGUUCAGGUGCGUGUCACUGUCAGCUCAUGGACUGGAUCAUCCCUGGCUCCAUUGACAUGAGCAAGGUGAAGUUUGAUGCACAAAGUGAAGAUGACUGUAAAUACAACUUUGACCUUCUCCGUGAGGCCUUAAGUAAGAAUGGUGUAACUAAGGU